rfam:Danio rerio chromosome 4, GRCz11 reference primary assembly.
GGCUCUGUGGUGCAAUGGAUAGAGCAUUGGACUUCUAGGCUGUGAAUGGAGGCAUUCAAAGGUUGUGGGUUCGAGUCCCACCAGAGUUG